rnacentral:lncRNA from 1 species
UUCUUCAAAAGCGACUCGCGUUACAACAUUAUAACUCCCGAAUCAUAGAAGCUAAUUCACAUGUCCUCGGAUCGUCCAAGAAAAUUUUCUAACUUUUCAAAUCCAUAGUAGAUCGAGCUACAAACAAACAUGAUCUCUAAUCCACCGUUCAAAUCCUAUAAAAGCAAUAAUUUAAUAGAGGAUAUAGUUUCUCUCUCUUAUAAGAUGGCUCACAAAUUACUCAUA